rnacentral:rRNA from 1 species
CCCGGUGAGAUUUUAACGGCCGCAGUUAGAAGCUGUGCUAAGGUAGCGUAGUCAGUUGUCCUUUAAAUGGGGAAAGGAAUGAAUGGUUUGACGUGAGGGAAUCUGUCUCUAACAAAGUGAAAGAAAUUUUCUUUUUGGUGAAAAGCCCAAAAUUAAAUUAAAAGACGAGAAGACCCUUUCGAGCUUAAAUAGGUCUUAAAAAAUUAUUAAGGGUAAAGUUUGGUUGGGGCAACCUAGGAGCAAAAGUAGACUCCUUACGCUUAUAAUGAGCCAAAAAUUUUGAAAAGAGAAAAAGCUACCGUAGGGAUAACAGCGUUAUCCUCUCUGAGAGAACAUAUUGAAGAGGGGGUUUGCGACCUCGAUGUUGAAUUAAAGUUUCCGUUGGGCGCAGAG